rnacentral:lncRNA from 7 species
UGCUCAAUCACUGCUUCAAGCUGUGACUCAGCGUUUCCUCUACACUCCUCCAUUCAUUAUUUUCAAGUUUCUGUUUCGUGGAGAAUAUUGGAGGAAAAAAGGUCAUUUUUAAUUGACAAAAAAUUAUUUCUCCUGCUUCCAUUCUUAAAUCAAAGAUCUGCUGUGACAGCUAGGUUCACACGUGGCUCAGUCUGAUAUAUCUGAGAGCUGUUCCUGCCCAUCAGUAGUGGGUUUCUCCUGGGGUCCUGCUUGUGAUACAGCUGUGAUCCAACAUCAGUAAGCAUAAGGUAGUCUGUUGCUAUGUUCGGUGACUUGUUGGUCGGCGUGUCUUCAUGUUAUUGCCUCAUCCUUGAGCUGAUAAUGUGAAGACAUAUCAAGAGUCACUGGUGGUUGCAUGGUAGAACUUCCAGAUUUCUCUUCCUGUCACUAGCUUAGAGAUGCAGGAGCACUGUAGAAGUUGUAUUUCUACAUUGGUUACAUCACUCAAUGAAAGGAGACUUUGCAAAUAUAUCAGCACAUCUUAAGAAGGGCAGCACAGUGUGCUGGCUUCGGCUUCUCACCUUGAGUAACUUCAAACUACUGAAUUCCAGGGGGAAGUAAAGAAAGGUGCAAGUGUGUGUGAGAAAGAGCAAGAGUGAGCCUUUUAAGUAGAAGAAGAUAAUGCAGCUUUCAAAUCACUUCUCCUGCAAGUGAAAAUUACCUCGUGGUGUAGACAAAUACUGGCCCUGCCUGUUUCCCUCUAGGGACUUUAUCACUGUCCAUCAUUACAAUCUCUACAGCCCGGGUUUUGGGAAAGAUAAGAUUAUUGAAAACCCAAGGCAAAACACUCUUGAAAAAUGGCUUUUUACAAUAAACAAGAAAGGCAGCCUCAUGCAGAGGAGAGGCUGUGCACUGAGGAUGACAGCCGUUCCCAUGACAACGCCAAAAACCUUUCACCAUUGGGUAUCAACAGGAGAACAUCUCCCAUGGCAAGCGCAGGAAGCCAGGAGCCUGCUUAGUCCUCGUCUCAUAAAUCAUCCUGAUGGACUGCACUGAUCAGCACUGCCAGUUGUGCACGUGCAGCUCACCUCCCAGGAACCACCUGCCUUCGGAUGAAAGGAAGACCAAAUAAACUUAAAGCUCCAGAGCUGGCUGUAUGUAAAAGGAAAAUUAAGCUCUGCUAGUGGUACAAGAUUUCCCUCUGUUCUCUAGCUGAGGAAUCACAAUUUUUAAUGAUGAAAAACCAAGCAAAAAUCCAGGACAUCUUAAAACCAUUAAAGAGGACCACUGAAGAAGCCAUGUGGUUAUGCUCAGCUGCAGAGAAAUCUCUCAUUGACUUGGGAUGGAGAGACAAGGGCAGCUUGGGAGAAUUUUGCUAUAUUUCAUGCUGAUCCUGUAGUGUUCAGAGGAAGUUUUUCUCAAGUCCUCUCCAGCCACAACAUUGGUUGCUUGGUGAUGGUGUUGAUACUGCAAGCGUAGGAGUAGAGAGUCCCCAGCUGUGGCAGGGCUGAGAUCUGCACCCUGAGCCCCAUUUAAGCUCCUGGCUCCUGCAUACCUCUGAGGCUGCAGCGUUUCUACUCCCCCCUUCAUCACUUCAGUGUCAAAGGUGGGUUCCAAACUUUGUCAUCUUUACAAAGGGCUCAGAGACCCCCAGCAAGCUGCUCUGGAUGCAGGCAACAAGGCUUGUUUCAUCCUGCCUAUGCGACGUGCCAUCUCCUCCAGUCAUCUCCACUAAUCUCAUUAAAGCUCUGUUUUUAUGAGUUGGAGAUUUGUAAUUUUGGUGUUGUUGUUGCUGCUAGUGUUGGAGCUCUGCAUCAGAGCUCAUUCUUAUAAUUAAUGUGACAGAUCUUGAACUAGUACGUCAAAACAGCACGGUUGAGACAGAAAAGCACUGGAAAGAUCAUCUUUAAUCAAACAGCAGUGAUUCACGUUUAACUGGGUAGAUGGGAAGUCCUCUACCUCGCUGGCUCUGAGCGAGGCUUCCCUAAGGACACGGUCUUAAAAGUUUUGCUCAGCUUCCUGGGCUCCACCACUUGGGCUUUUUGAUGGAAACUCUUUAAAAUGCCAUUUCUGUCAGCGUGUCAGAGCUGUAGCUGGGAAGCUCUGAACACUAGCAAUUCUUUUCAUACUUAUUUUCUAGAAGCUGUACAAAAAAGAGAAAUGUAAGGGAGACAAUCUUGAUUUGAAGCUCCCGAAGCCAAACUGUCAGUUGGGUGGAAAUCCUUUGUUUCGGGAGUCCCAGCCCUUUGUUCCCCAGACUCCCUCCAUCUUUCUGCAAAGGCUUUGUGAAUACUAAUGGAAAACACGCACAUCCCCAUGCCUCCAGCUGGGCCUGAGUAACUGGGAGCUUUGAGGCAGACGUGUGGGAACUGGGAGUACGUUCACUGGUCAGUUACAAUGCCUUCUGACACUGCACAGUUCUAUCACUUAGAGGCAUCCAGUGCUUGGGAAGGCUUUGAAAUUUGCCAAGCUAAUAACAGCCCUCUCCAGAGUUCUGGCAUGCAGGUUACCAGAACCUCAGAUUAAUGGCAGUAUUCUUAUAUUGCCAUAAAUAAACUUUCAUUCUUG